AAACAUGUCUUUUUGAGGUAAAUAAAAAGUCUGGCCUGCCCACUGAAUAAUUUGAAUGGCCGCAGUAUUUUGACUGUGCAAAGGUAGCAUAAUCAUUAGUCUUUUAAUUGAAGGCUGGUAUGAAUGGUUGGACGAAGUAUAAGCUGUUUCAUAUAAAUUUAUUAUAGAAUUUUAUAUUUUAGUUAAAAAGCUAAAAUUUUUUUAAAAGACGAGAAGACCCUAUAAAUCUUUAUAAUUAAUAUUAUAUAAAUUUUUUAGAUAUAUUUUAUUUUUUUGAUAUUAAUUAUUUUGUUGGGGUGAUGUUAAAAUUUAAUGAACUUUUAAUUAUUUAAAAUCAUUAAUUUAUGAUUUAUUGAUCCAUUAAUAUUGAUUAUAAGAUUAAGUUACUUUAGGGAUAACAGCGUAAUUUUUUUUGAGAGUUCUUAUCGAUAAAAAAGUUUGCGACCUCGAUGUUGGAUUAAGGUAUAAUUUUGGGUGUAGCUGUUCAAAUAUUAAGUCUGUUCGACUUUUAAAUCCUUACAUGAUC
rnacentral:rRNA from 1 species